rnacentral:rRNA from 1 species
CGGAGGGAAACCGAGUCUUAAUUGGGCGUUAAGUUGCAGGGUAUAGACCCGAAACCCGGUGAUCUAGCCAUGGGCAGGUUGAAGGUUGGGUAACACUAACUGGAGGACCGAACCGACUAAUGUUGAAAAAUUAGCGGAUGACCUGUGGCUGGGGGUGAAAGGCCAAUCAAACCGGGAGAUAGCUGGUUCUCCCCGAAAGCUAUUUAGGUAGCGCCUCGUGAAUUCAUCUCCGGGGGUAGAGCACUGUUUCGGCUAGGGGGCCAUCCCGGCUUACCAACCCGAUGCAAACUGCGAAUACCGGAGAAUGUUAUCACGGGAGACACACGGCGGGUGCUAACGUCCGUCGUGAAGAGGGAAACAACCCAGACCGCCAGCUAAGGUCCCAAAGUCAUGGUUAAGUGGGAAACGAUGUGGGAAGGCCCAGACAGCCAGGAUGUUGGCUUAGAAGCAGCCAUCAUUUAAAGAAAGCGUAAUAGCUCACUGGUCGAGUCGGCCUGCGCGGAAGAUGUAACGGGGCUAAACCAUGCACCGAAGCUGCGGCAGCGAACGUAUCACCCAAGACAACUUUACGGAGUUGACGAUUGACGGAGCGAAGCGACGUCAAAGCGUUCAUUAAAGUCGAGUUGGCUUAGGGAUACGUUCGUUGGGUAGGGGAGCGUUCUGUAAGCCUGUGAAGGUGUGUCGUGAGGCAUGCUGGAGGUAUCAGAAGUGCGAAUGCUGACAUAAG